AGGAACUAGCUGUUUCUUCUUCUUUAGUGGUUCUCCUAGUGCUCCAGGCUUUGUGACUCCAGGAGGCCUGUACGUGUGGGUUGCAGGGGUCACAAUGGCUUGACCAUGGUGCAGCCUGUUCAGAGGACCUUACAGGAAGCAGGCACACAGUAAGGAGACGUGCAGAGCCCUCCCCAGGAUUCUCUCCGCUGCCUAAGAUUGUCAAUAUUGCCAAAUUCUAACUGUGCCUGGCGAAUCUGGUGAUGUGUCUGCGAGGGAGGUGGUGAUUAAGGUCGGGGCCACCUUGAGCCUUCGUGUGUCCUGACUCAAAGGACUGAGUCCAGAGAUCUGCUGGGGCAUGGUGUGUCCCCAAAGAAGCUGAUUUCCUUCUUGAAGGGGGUGAGAAGAAGGGAGAAUGUGACUUGACCAAGCCAAUCAGCCAACUACCUUCCCUCCCAACAGGAGUUGAUUUGUUCAGGAGGGGGCAUGUGACAAAAGCUGGGCUGCUCAGAGCCCAUCUAAGGACUUCACUGAAAUGCUGACAUAAAGCAGCCAUUUGUGCCACAGGGGGAAAGCCAGCCUGAAAUGAAACUGUCUCGCAAAGAAAUAGAGAUGAAUGACUUGUAGAGAACUGGAAACAGAAACAAAAGAAACUGGCAGAGAAAAUAUUGCAAGUAAAUGUUGAACCUCCGGAUUGAACCAUGCCUGAGUCCCUCCUGGCUCUGACUUUUCAGUUAGAUCUCCAAGAGGACCCUCCUGCCUCUGCUUCUCUUCCUCCCCUGGAGUCAAUUUUGCAGUGUGCUGGUCAGCCUCAUCCAGCCCCUCUUUUCUGGGAACUGCUCUAACUCUAUGGCUGGAUUGACUGGCCAAGAGACAGACACCAGGGUGAGCUGGAUCAUCAGACAGUCUCUCCUAGGAAUGUGAAAUACGAAUUCAGAGAGGCCGGCAGCCCAUUGUCCAUGGGAAUGCAGAAGCUAUAGGGCUGAGAAACCCCUUUCCAUCCAGAGGGAAAGAAGGUAUAGUGGGUGAGGGGAGAACAGCAGAGGCAGGCAACCCUGGGGCCAGGGGAGCCAGAAGGAGCAGCUGCCUCUGUCUCCAAGGGCUUGCUAGCUUGAGGUCAGGUCCUUCCUGAGGUCUGACUGCUCCUCUUGCCCACUGGGUCUGAAAUAAAUCAAUUAUCACCCGCCCUUUUUCCCAAUAGAUGAGUUGAAUCAAUUUCUAUCACUUGACAUCGGAAGAGCCUUGAAUAAGCCACACUUCCCAUUCCCAUGCUUGCCCUAGGACCCACUGCCCCAGAUGGGGAGAAGGCCAAGUGAACACCCGGCCUUCAGGGACCCUCAUGGAGGCAGUUCUCUUCCCCCACUUUGUGCCACGCAGGAGAGGCUGCUGAGACUGCAGCAAUGACCUGGGCUGCCUGGGGUUACUGAAGGCAGCAGGAAGCAGUGUUGGGUUGAGUCCCCGGUUUCCGGACUCCACACCUGGUGGCCCACGCAGCUAGCUACCUAGUCCACAGCCGUUCUCCCCUUCCUCUCCCUCAAAGCCAAAGGUGGUUACACAACACAGUACAGCCCAUGACAGGCAACUUCAGAGUGGGGCUUCCAGGACAGCUACUGCUUUCCUGUUGGGCCUGGUGGCUCUUCACUAUACCUUUCCCCUUCCCUAUAUUCCUCCCUGGGGCACAAAGUUCUGCCUGAAGGUGUAGCAGCAGGUAUUUGUGACCCUGAGGAUGAAGGCACCUGGUGAGGAAGUCAACAUAGGGAGCUGGAAGGACCCUGGUCCCCUAUAGCCUCACCAUAGCCCCAGCAGUGGGACCAUCAUGGAUCCUGACCUUUGGGCUUCUCAUUACUCAAGGAAAAGAAAAACCCCAAACCAUGUUUGCUUAAGAUCCUCUUGUCAG